rnacentral:rRNA from 1 species
GUAGGUGGCAAGCGUUGUCCGGAAUUAUUGGGCGUAAAGCGCGCGCAGGCGGUUCUUUAAGUCUGAUGUGAAGGCCCACGGCUCAACCGUGGAGGGUCAUUGGAAACUGGAGAACUUGAGUACAGAAGAGGAAAGCGGAAUUCCACGUGUAGCGGUGAAAUGCGUAGAGAUGUGGAGGAACACCAGUGGCGAAGGCGGCUUUCUGGUCUGUAACUGACGCUGAGGCGCGAAAGCGUGGGGAGCAAACAGGGAUUAGAUACACUGGUAGUCCACGCCGUAAACGAUGAGUGCUAAGUGUUAGGGGGGUUUCCGCCCCCCUUAGUGCUGCAGCUAACGCAUUAAGCACUCCGCCUGGGAGUACGGCCGCAAGGCUG